rnacentral:rRNA from 1 species
UACGUAGGGGGCAAGCGUUAUCCGGAUUUACUGGGCGUAAAGCGUGUGCAGGCGGCCUCACAAGUGGUGUAUGAAAUAUCCAGGCUCAACCUGGAGGGGUUAUGCCAGACUGUGAGGCUAGAGUGCGAGAGAGGGGCGUGGAAUUCCGGGUGUAGUGGUGAAAUGCGUAGAGAUCCGGAGGAACCCCAGAGGCGAAGGCGGCGCCCUGGCUCGCAACUGACGCUCAGACACGACAGCAUGGGGAGCGAACGGG